GUUGCAUAUUAUGUAGAGGGAAGGUAACGUGUUCCUUUAUUUCACAAGCCCACAGAUCAAGAGGAACUCUACAGGAAGAGCUGUAUUUGAGAAAUUCGUCCGGGGAGCCUCAUCUGAACCUGGACCUGAUUAGAUGACAAGGCCUAGGACUUCAAAUUGAUGCUGCAGCUUAAUGAGACGUGGGGACCUUGGAAAGAGCCAUACCUGACCAAUCAUCACCUAAAAGAACAGAACAACCCACCACACAGGACUGAUGCAAGACUGGUAACUGAAUACCUAUUACAUGCCACAUAGAGUCCUGUCAACAGCCCCGCAAAGUAAAUGCUACUGGCCCUCCUUUAUUGGUGAAACCCUGGGGAAACAGCAGCGAACCCAAUGCAAUCUGUCCUCAAGCAGCAGCACCCAUCCAAGCAGAGA